GCGGCUGGAUCCCCUCCUUUCUAGGGAGUACUAAAGUAAUCAGUCGUCAGUAAUCAGACCUUGAUUGCUUGUAUCCCGAGGUUAAUGCCUCUUUUUGAGGCCCUUGAUUUAUUUUUUCUAUCUCCUUUCCUGUCACUCUUCAGUCGUUAAGACUGAGGUAGCACAUUAAAAACUGAAUAGAACGAGUGUAGUUCGAUGAACCAAAGGUAACACGUGUGAUUAAGCUACGAAGGGUGCACGGAGGAUGCCUUGGCGUCAAGAGCCGAUGAAGGACGUGGUUGACUGCGAAAAGCUCCGGGGAACCGUCAGCAGGUGUUAGAGCCGGAGAUGUCCGAAUGGGGAAACCCGG
rnacentral:rRNA from 1 species